AUUGAUCGCUGGCGGCAUGCCUUACACAUGCAAGUCGAACGGCAGCACGGGGCAACCUGGUGGCGAGUGGCGAACGGGUGAGUAAUGCAUCGGAACGCACCUUUCAGUGGGGGAUAACGUAGCGAAAGUUACGCUAAUACCGCAUAUUCUGUGAGCAGGAAAGCAGGGGACCGCAAGACCUGCUCUGAUUGAGCGGCCGAUGUCAGAUUAGCUAGUUGGUGAGGUAAAGGCUCACCAAGGCGACGAUCUGUAGCGGGUCUGAGAGGAUGAUCCGCCACACUGGAACUGAGACACGGUCCAGACUCCUACGGGAGGCAGCAGUGGGGAAUUUUGGACAAUGGGGGCAACCCUGAUCCAGCCAUGCCGCGUGAGUGAAGAAGGCCUUCGGGUUGUAAAGCUCUUUCGGCCGGGAAGAAAUCGCACGGGCUAAUACCCUGUGUGGAUGACGGUACCGGAAUAAGAAGCACCGGCUAACUACGUGCCAGCAGCCGCGGUAAAAC
rnacentral:rRNA from 1 species